rnacentral:rRNA from 1 species
AACGAACGCUGGCGGCAGGCCUAACACAUGCAAGUCGAGCGCCCCGCGAGGGGUGCGGCGGACGGGUGAGGACCGCGGGGGAAGGUACGCUUUGGUACGUAAUAGCCUCGGGAAACUGGGAGUAAUACCGGAUGUGUCCUUCGGGAGAAAGAUUUAUCGGCAAGGGGUCGGCCCGCGUUGGAUUAGGUAGUUGGUGGGGUAAUGGCCUACCAAGCCGACGAGCCAUAGCUGGUUUGAGAGGGUGGUCAGACACACUGGGACUGAGACACGGUCCAGACUCCUACGGGAGGCAGCAGUGGGGAAUCCUAGACUAUGGGCGCAAGCCUGAUCUAGCCAUGCCGCGUGAGCGAUGAAGGCCUUAGGGUUGUAAAGCUCUUUCAGGGGGGAAGAUAAUGACUGUACCCCCAGAAGAAGCCCCGGCUAACUCCGUG